rnacentral:lncRNA from 1 species
CCCUCACUAUUUAUCAAUUUAAAAAUGAUUUUCUUUUCGUUGAAGUCAGUAUCGUUAGACUCAAUAAUCACUUUUGCAUUAAGGUCAUAAAACAUGUACGCCUUCUUUUUAUAGCAUACCCAAUGAACACACAUUCAUGGGCUCUACUUGUGAGUUUAAUUCUCUGGGAGCAUACUUACAGAAAUGAUUUCAUGAAUAACUCUAUAUUUCAUU